GGGGAUGUGGCUCAAGCGGUAGAGCGCUCGCCUGGCAUGCGCGGGGCGCUGGGUUCGAAACUCAGCACCACA
rnacentral:tRNA from 1 species